rnacentral:lncRNA from 10 species
GUGAGAAGUUUCCACUGACAUUAUAUUUAGCAAAUUGUUUCCAUAUUUACUUUGAUACGUGUAUAUAUAGUUAUCUAGUGAAUUUAUGCUUUCUUCUGUAGUUCUACGUGUGAUAAUAAUCUCAAAUAAAAUGAAAUAAUCUUCUUAUUCUGAUAGAGAAGAAAAAGCUGGAUCACUUACCAGUAACUGGAGUUCUCCUAUUGGGUAAUCUCCACAGAUCCACAUUGUUUGAAGUUAUUGUGAGUGCCUCGAGGACCAAGGAACCGUUGAAAUUUCCAAUUUCAGGAAGUUCCAGUGGAUGCCCAUCAGGAAGAUUCUCAUGCUGAACAGAAGGGCAAGAGAGGUGGAUCUGUGAGGGAAAAGACCCAAUAGGAUAACUCAAGUUACUGGAAACCUCGACCUGUCUCCCAGUUGGUUGCACAGCAGGUUACUCAGCAGUUUGUGCCUCCUACACAGUCAAAGAAAGAGAAAAAAGAUAAAGUAGAAAAAGAAAAAAGUGAAAAGGAAACAACUAGCAAAAAGAAUAG